GACGAACGCUGGCGGCGUGCUUAACACAUGCAAGUCGAACGGUGAACCUCUUCGGAGGGGAUCAGUGGCGAACGGGUGAGUAACACGUGGGCAACCUGCCCCCGGCUCUGGGAUAACUCCAAGAAAUUGGGGCUAAUACCGGAUGUUCACCGCUUCCCGCAUGGGUGGUGGUGGAAAGGGUUUCCGGCUGGGGAUGGGCCCGCGGCCUAUCAGCUUGUUGGUGGGGUAGUGGCCUACCAAGGCGACGACGGGUAGCCGGCCUGAGAGGGUGACCGGCCACACUGGGACUGAGACACGGCCCAGACUCCUACGGGGGGCAGCAGUGGGGAAUAUUGCGCAAUGGGCGGAAGCCUGACGCAGCGACGCCGCGUGGGGGAUGACGGCCUUCGGGUUGUAAACCUCUUUCAGCAGGGACGAAGCGCAAGUGACGGUACCUGCAGAAGAAGCACCGGCCAACUACGUG
rnacentral:rRNA from 1 species